rnacentral:lncRNA from 1 species
CUUGCUCAUCUCUUCACUAUAGAUAUAGUAUAUAAACAUCUUAAAAAUAAGAAAUUUUAGAAAAGAGAAAUAAUAUAAGAAAGUCACUACACAUCCAUUCUAGCAUCGAGAAGUGAUGAAAAAUCUCAAGAAUAGGUCUGUUUACAUAACAAAUUGUGGCAAUUAUUUGACAUAGUUCAAUACAUAGAAAAUUUAAUUCAAGUGGCAAAUUCAACCUAGCUAAUCCAUUCGUCACCAAAUCAUAGAUCAUCUCCAUCCAUAUAUCCAUGACAUACAUCAAAAAACAAAUUUAAUUCCUUUUCAUAAGCUUGUCAUAGGCACUGCAGCAACAUUUUUCUUCAAAAAUAAUACAUUGCUUCCACCAAGAGCUCUGCAAGUAAAUACAAGGAAAAACAUUAGCAGCUAGAGACAUACCUAAAGUACUAAUCAAAGUUUUAGAAACUGGAAAUCGAAGUUUACUAGAGAGUUGCUUUGCUAUUACUGUUACUGAAAAUUGAAGUUUCAGAAGCACAGAACUCUGGUUUCAGAAACAACAUUGAACAUUACCUAUAGGAAAUUUCCAGAAAUGAAUCAAAUCAAAACUGAAAGAGCUUUCUCUACUCAACAAACAAAAAAACAGACAUAUAAAAAAAUAGACAUCAUAGUAGCAUGUGAAAAACAGUUUCAUACGAAAAUAAACUGCAUUUUAUCUUAGCCCAUGAAGCAAAAUAAAGACUACAAAAACGAGGGCUGACUGACUUGGGCACGUGAUGGAGCAUUAUUGAUACUGGCAAUCUAACUAAAACACAUUGAGAAGAGUAAAGAUUGGUCUCUUUUCAAUGCUAGCAAUAUAACAGGUCUGCACAUUGCAAUGCUAGGUAAUUAUAAGGAGAUAACAGUCAACAAGUUAAAACUAAUAGUGAAACAGAGAUAACAAGUCUGCACAUUGCAAUGCUAGCAAGCAAUGUCCUGUUAUUGAACAUCUAUAGAAUGUGAAAGUCAAAAAAUAGGAUAUCCUGUUAUAGAAUUCAAUGGCAUCUAUUUAAAGUUAAGAAGCCAUACAUAAUAACAAAAACUGAAACUCUCUGAAUUCAAACACUUCAAUGCAUGGGUGACAUAUAAGUGGGACUCGAAACAAACAAUAGCAACUAUCAACCAGCCAUGUCCAGUUUGCCAUGGAAAACAGUAUCCAUCUUAUAAACACAUGCAGCAGACAAUAUCUGCUAUGAGCCAUUGAGCUUAGCUUAAAAACUUUAAAACUGCUAUGAGCCAUUGAGCCUAGCUUCCAACUUAGUACCAGCACACCAAUGUCAGCAAGAGUAAAAGUUAACAAACAUUGGAGCAUAUGGCCCAAGCCUACUUGAAACAAAAUGGAUGCAAACUAGAAUUCAAGCAUGCAGUUAAGUACCUGGCUAUGGUGAGUUCCUCACUAGAGCAGCACGUGGAGCUGGGCGUGGGGCGGACCUUCCUGCCAAUACAAUCAGAAAAAAUAAGCAUAAAGAAUACAAAAAUGCGUCAUUGAGAAAUCAGAAGCGAAGAUGUUUCUAAGAUCCCAAGUGGCAAUUGCAGACAUCCAACGUUUAUUAAAAAAACAGACAUCCAACCACCCAAUGAUUGUCAGAUCAGCUUCUCAUGGAAGCGAAUCAAUUACCGAAUCAGAAACCAAUUUAACAUAUGCACACACAAAAUUUCAGGAUCCACAAGAAACAUAAACAGUAUGACAAGAGAAGAAGGUGAGAAACAUUGGGUAAAGCAGAGAGAUCCGAGCGAAGGGCAAGAGGUGGUGUCGUGUAGGCGGUAGCGUUGAUGCUUCUCACGGGCGGCGGCACCAGUGUCCUAGCUCACGGAUCUGCAGCUCCAAUAUCCACAAAAAGCAAUUCAAGUGAUCACCACAUGACCUCUCAAUCUCAUAACAUUACCACUCAAUCUUAGAACUAACUAUUAAGAGAUCAAGAUACAGUAAAAUUAGAGUAUACGCAGAACAUUACCACUCAAUCUUAGAACUAGUCACAACUCACCUAUGGGCACUCACCAACACAUAUAGCAAAGAAAACAAGACAAAUCAUAUAAUUGUAGCAGAAAAUUCAGUAUAGUGAAUACCAUGUUUCUCUUAAACUUAAAGGCUUGUAGCAGAUAUGAGGUAUUAGUGACUACAUUCUAUUUUCAGCAAAACCUGGAGGAUGUGUAUGCCAGGCAAAACGUGCACCUUCAUACUCUAAAAAUAAACUGCAAAUAAUAAGCUGGAGAGAGAUUCGUGCAGCCAAGCUACAGUUUUUGGGGCAAGAUUUUCUUAGCUACAACUAAAUUAUAUUAUUAGAUACAUAAACAAUCAUGAUUGAAACUUCAACUAUCACUGAAUUCCUUAGCUAUGACUAAGUUAUAUUAUUAGCUCUUGUCUGAUAGGUGCAACCAAAGUAAUUAUCUAACACAAAGCAAAUCAUCUUAAUCAACCAAUGGCUUUUCUCCUAAAAAUAGAUUAAAUUAUCGCUUCAAUUAUCUUGCAUAUCACUGUAUCUUUGAUGUUGGUAUCGUAAGGAAAGAAAUUUUGCUUAACCAAUGAAAUGGAACCUGACACAACAUACUUCACUUGACAGAAAACUAUUGACCUAUGGCUAAUGCUUCCAUGUGCAAUUGUGCAGAAAAAAAAUCUAGCAUUCUAGGAUGGAUUAUAGGACAUGGGAGAUGAUAAGUUGCUCCAAACGGCCGAAGCAAAGCAUACAACAAUUUAAAUGUAUCUUCCAUCAAAAUCUAGUGUAUCAGUAAGAAUCUCACUAAUUCAAAUCAACCAUGGAAGUCAAACUGGAUCUACCAGAACAGUGCUACAAACAAGAAAUCUAAGAAGCAAGACAAUCGAGCACACUACCAAAACAUCUGAGAAUAAAAUAAUCUACCGAAACCCUAAAUCAAUUGUACAACAGAUCGAGAAGGGGGACCAAUCGAGCGGGUGCAUACCAGAUCGAGACUGCCUUCCUUCGUUCGGAGGGAAGACAAAUCCGAGAAGAACUGGAGUGGAUCUCGGAGCCGGUGCCUUUCAGUAGCUGUGGCGGUCACGUCUCUCCAGCGAGGGGAUGAAGCCAAUGUGGAGGUGGGGACAACGACAGUUCGAAAGGGACGGUGGCUGGCACAGAGACGAAGAUGGCAAGAGGAGGGGCGAGGCGACGAUGGAGGGGCGGCGACGGAGGAGAAGUCGGAGGCGAGGCGACUCGAGCCGGGGAAUGUCGGUCGGUGCCACGAGGUCGGACAGGUUUCCCGUCAAAACCUGGUUCCUGUAGGGCGGAGACACGUGUGCCGCGUGCUUCCAAAUGGACCCGACCGGUGGUCUGUGGAAAAUAGCUGUGUGAAAAAUCACCGUGGGGAAAAGCCCAGGUUC